UACGAAGGGGGGCUAGCGUUGCUCGGAAUCACUGGGCGUAAAGGGUGCGUAGGCGGGUCUUUAAGUCAGGGGUGAAAUCCUGGAGCUCAACUCCAGAACUGCCUUUGAUACUGAAGAUCUUGAGUUCGGGAGAGGUGAGUGGAACUGCGAGUGUAGAGGUGAAAUUCGUAGAUAUUCGCAAGAACACCAGUGGCGAAGGCGAGUCCCUGGACAACUUCUGACGCUGAGGCACGAAAGCUAGGGGAGCAAAAGGG
rnacentral:rRNA from 1 species